rnacentral:rRNA from 2 species
UCAGGACGAACGCUGGCGGCGUGCCUAAUACAUGCAAGUCGAGCGGACAGAAGGGAGCUUGCUCCCGGAUGUUAGCGGCGGACGGGUGAGUAACACGUGGGUAACCUGCCUGUAAGACUGGGAUAACUCCGGGAAACCGGAGCUAAUACCGGAUAGUUCCUUGAACCGCAUGGUUCAAGGAUGAAAGACGGUUUCGGCUGUCACUUACAGAUGGACCCGCGGCGCAUUAGCUAGUUGGUGAGGUAACGGCUCACCAAGGCGACGAUGCGUAGCCGACCUGAGAGGGUGAUCGGCCACACUGGGACUGAGACACGGCCCAGACUCCUACGGGAGGCAGCAGUAGGGAAUCUUCCGCAAUGGACGAAAGUCUGACGGAGCAACGCCGCGUGAGUGAUGAAGGUUUUCGGAUCGUAAAGCUCUGUUGUUAGGGAAGAACAAGUGCAAGAGUAACUGCUUGCACCUUGACGGUACCUAACCAGAAAGCCACGGCUAACUACGUGCCAGCAGCCGCGGUAAUACGUAGGUGGCAAGCGUUGUCCGGAAUUAUUGGGCGUAAAGGGCUCGCAGGCGGUUUCUUAAGUCUGAUGUGAAAGCCCCCGGCUCAACCGGGGAGGGUCAUUGGAAACUGGGAAACUUGAGUGCAGAAGAGGAGAGUGGAAUUCCACGUGUAGCGGUGAAAUGCGUAGAGAUGUGGAGGAACACCAGUGGCGAAGGCGACUCUCUGGUCUGUAACUGACGCUGAGGAGCGAAAGCGUGGGGAGCGAACAGGAUUAGAUACCCUGGUAGUCCACGCCGUAAACGAUGAGUGCUAAGUGUUAGGGGGUUUCCGCCCCUUAGUGCUGCAGCUAACGCAUUAAGC